UACGUAGGGUGCGAGCGUUGUCCGGAAUUACUGGGCGUAAAGAGCUCGUAGGUGGUUUGUCGCGUUGUUCGUGAAAACUCACAGCUUAACUGUGGGCGUGCGGGCGAUACGGGCAGACUGGAGUACUGCAGGGGAGACUGGAAUUCCUGGUGUAGCGGUGGAAUGCGCAGAUAUCAGGAGGAACACCGGUGGCGAAGGCGGGUCUCUGGGCAGUAACUGACGCUGGGGAGCGAAAGCCAGGGGAGCAAACGGG
rnacentral:rRNA from 1 species